CUUGUACUCUCUCCGUCCGAAAAUACUUGUCAUCAAGAUGAAAUAAAAGGAGAUGUAUCUAGAUGUAUUUUAGUUCUAGAUACACCUCUUUUUUAUCCAUUUUGAUGAUAAGUAUUUCCGGAAGGAGGGAGUAUUUG
rfam:Triticum urartu cultivar G1812 contig715710, whole genome shotgun sequence.